UACAGAGGGGGCAAGCGUUGUUCGGAAUUACUGGGCGUAAAGGGCGCGUAGGCGGCCUGCUAAGUCGAACGUGAAAUCCCUGGCUCAACCCAGGAACUGCGUCCGAUACUGGUUGGCUUGAAUCCGGGAGAGGGAUGUGGAAUUCCAGGUGUAGCGGUGAAAUGCGUAGAUAUCAGGAGGAACACCGGUGGCGAAGGCGGAUCUCUGGGCCUUACCUGACGCUCAGGC
rnacentral:rRNA from 1 species